rnacentral:rRNA from 1 species
GAGCGGUAAGGCCUUUCGGGGUACACGAGCGGCGAACGGGUGAGUAACACGUGGGUGAUCUGCCCUGCACUUCGGGAUAAGCCUGGGAAACUGGGUCUAAUACCGGAUAUGACCUCCUAUCGCAUGGUGGGUGGUGGAAAGAUUUAUCGGUGCAGGAUGGGCCCGCGGCCUAUCAGCUUGUUGGUGGGGUAAUGGCCUACCAAGGCGACGACGGGUAGCCGACCUGAGAGGGUGACCGGCCACACUGGGACUGAGACACGGCCCAGACUCCUACGGGAGGCAGCAGUGGGGAAUAUUGCACAAUGGGCGAAAGCCUGAUGCAGCGACGCCGCGUGAGGGAUGACGGCCUUCGGGUUGUAAACCUCUUUCAGCAGGGACGAAGCGCAAGUGACGGUACCUGCAGAAGAAGCACCGGCUAACUACGUGCCAGCAGCCGCGGUAAUACGUAGGGUGCAAGCGUUGUCCGGAAUUACUGGGCGUAAAGAGUUCGUAGGCGGUUUGUCGCGUCGUUUGUGAAAACCAGCAGCUCAACUGCUGGCUUGCAGGCGAUACGGGCAGACUUGAGUACUGCAGGGGAGACUGGAAUUCCUGGUGUAGCGGUGAAAUGCGCAGAUAUCAGGAGGAACACCGGUGGCGAAGGCGGGUCUCUGGGCAGUAACUGACGCUGAGGAACGAAAGCGUGGGUAGCGAACAGGAUUAGAUACCCUGGUAGUCCACGCCGUAAACGGUGGGCGCUAGGUGUGGGUUCCUUCCACGGAAUCCGUGCCGUAGCUAACGCAUU